rnacentral:misc_RNA from 1 species
GAUGAAGAACGUAGCAAAAUGCGAUACUUGGUGUGAAUUGCAGAAUCCCGUGAACCAUCGAGUUUUUGAACGCAAGUUGCGCCCGAAGCCUUUUGGCCGAGGGCACGUCUGCCUGGGCGUCACGCAUCGCGUCGCCCCCCACAAUUCUCCGUAAAGGGAACGUGUGUUUUGGGGGCGGAUAUUGGUCUCCCGUGCUCAUGGCGUGGUUGGCCGAAAUAGGAGUCCUUUCGAUGGACGCACGAACUAGUGGUGGUCGUAAAAACCCUCGUCUUUUGUUUCGUGCUGUUGCUCGCAAGGUAAACUCUUUAAAAACCCCAAUGUGUCGUCUCUUGACGACGCUUCGACCGCGACCCCAGGUCAGGCGGGACUACCCGCUGAGUUUAAGCAUAUCAAUAAGCGGAGG